rnacentral:rRNA from 1 species
ACGGCUCAGUAACACGUGGAUAACCUACCCUCAGAUCUGGGAUAACUCCGGGAAACUGGAGAUAAUACCGGAUAAUCCGUGAACGCUGGAAUGCCUUACGGUUCAAAGCUUUAGCGUCUGAGGAUGGGUCUGCGGCCGAUUAGGUAGUUGCUGGGGUAACGUCCCAACAAGCCGAUAAUCGGUACGGGUUGUGAGAGCAAGAGCCCGGAGAUGGAUUCUGAGACACGAAUCCAGGUCCUACGGGGCGCAGCAGGCGCGAAAACUUUACACUGCGCGAAAGCGCGAUAAGGGAACCUCGAGUGCGUGCGCAAUGCGUACGCUUUUCAAAUGCCUAAAAAGCAUCUGGAAUAAGGGCCGGGCAAGACCGGUGCCAGCCGCCGCGGUAACACCGGCGGCUCAAGUGGUGGCCGCUAUUAUUGGGCUUAAAGGGUCCGUAGCCGGACCAGUUAGUCCCUUGGGAAAUCUUACGGCUUAACCGUAAGGCUGUCAGUGGAUACUACUGGUCUUGGGACCGGGAGAGGCAAGAGGUACCUCAGGGGUAGGAGUGAAAUCCUGUAAUCCUUGAGGGACCGCCAGUGGCGAAGGCGUCUUGCUAGAACGGGUCCGACGGUGAGGGACGAAAGCUAGGGGCACGAACCGGAUUAGAUACCCGGGUAGUCCUAGCCGUAAACGAUGCGAGCUAGGUGUCACGUGGAUUGCGAAUCCAUGUGGUGCCGUAGGGAAACCGUGAAGCUCGCCGCCUGGGAAGUACGGCCGCAAGGCUGAAACUUAAAGGAAUUGGCGGGGGAGCAC